rnacentral:rRNA from 1 species
CAGUAGCCGCGGGAAUACGAAGGGGGCUAGCGUUGCUCGGAAUGACUGGGCGUAAAGGGCGCGUAGGCGGUUUGCACAGUCGGGUGUGAAAUUCCUGGGCUUAACCUGGGGGCUGCAUUCGAGACGUGUAGGCUUGAGUGGGGAAGAGGGUCGUGGAAUUCCCAGUGUAGAGGUGAAAUUCGUAGAUAUUGGGAAGAACACCGGUGGCGAAGGCGGCGACCUGGUCCUUUACUGACGCUGAGGCGCGAAGGCGUGGGGAGCAAACAGGAUUAGAUACCCCAGUAGUCCCUGUCUCUUAUAC